rnacentral:lncRNA from 1 species
CUCAAACACUGCUUUGUCUAUAAAACUGAAGGUAGUAAGGAAUGUUAUCAAGGAGUUAGCAGGGGUUGGACUCAGUGAUCUCUGGAGGCUGGAGAUGCUGUUUGCUAAUGGCAGAUGGAGAGAGGAAAAGCAAGUGCAAGGCAUGCUGUGCAUAGCCACCACAUGGCAUCUGCACCAUUUCCCCCUGCACCAAGGAGGAGCAGCUCACAAGCUUGGCCUGGGCCAGGGAAGGGAGCAGACAAACAUCUGGACCGACCCCAAACGAGCUGGUUCUGCAGCUGUGCCAACGCUUUGAUCCCUUGCUGCUUGGAUGGGGCGUUUGAAGAAUGAUGCCUGUGCUGAUGUCCAGCCAGGCUUUGGGGAUGAGUCUCCACACCAGGGUCCGUCUGACAGGACUGAAGGUUGGGGAUCCAGCC